UCACGCCGCGUGAGUGAAGAAGGUUUCGGAUCGUAAAACUCUGUUGUUAGGGAAGAACAAUGCCAUAGUAACUGAUGGCACCUUGACGGUACCUAACCAGAAAGCCACGGCUAACUACGUGCCAGCAGCCGCGGUAAUACGUAGGUGGCAAGCGUUGUCCGGAAUUAUUGGGCGUAAAGCGCUCGCAGGCGGUUCUUUAAGUCUGAUGUGAAAUCUUACGGCUCAACCGUAAACGUGCAUUGGAAACUGGGGAACUUGAGUGCAGAAGAGGAGAGUGGAAUUCCACGUGUAGCGGUGAAAUGCGUAGAGAUGUGGAGGAACACCAGUGGCGAAGGCGACUCUCUGGUCUGUAACUGACGCUGAGGAGCGAAAGCGUGGGGAGCGAACAGGAUUAGAUACCCUGGUAGUCCACGCCGUAAACGAUGAGUGCUAGGUGUUAGGGGGUUUCCGCCCCUUAGUGCUGAAGUUAACGCAUUAAGCACUCCGCCUGGGGAGUACGGCCGCAAGGCUGAAACUCAAAAGAAUUGACGGGGGCCCGCACAAGCGGUGGAGCAUGUGGUUUAAUUCGAAGCAACGCGAAGAAACUUACCAGGUCUUGACAUCCUCUGAACACUCUAGAGAUAGA
rnacentral:rRNA from 1 species